rnacentral:lncRNA from 1 species
UGCAAUUUUCUAGUACAAAUCACUGAAUAUGAUGUUAGGUGCGGCCUAGUCCAUGCGUUAAAAUAGCCAUGGAUUAUUACAUCAUUGUUACUGUAGGAAUAUGUUUCUUGGACAUUGCUGGUAAUCUCUUACUAUAUCUAAACUCCACGUCAAACCCGACAAAGAAGGACAUGGUGAGAACAACAGUAUAGCAGCAGUGUGAAAGCAUGUUCUACAUAUAUAUAUAUAUAUCAAUGAGACGAGGUCUUCGUUUAUAUGAAAAAUAGUUUUAAAAAGAAGCUUUCAACAUAAAAGAUAGAAGCUUUUUGGACAACAUUAGCAUCAAACUAACCCACACACACCAAAAGCAUGCGAGAUAACCUUAGCUUUUGAAAUGUUACGUGAUAAUAUGAUAGAAACAUUAAA